CGAACCUGUCCGAUCUGGUGCACCGGUCUCCGGCGCUGCUGCUGCUGCUGCUGCUGCUGCUGUUCAGCUGCGUGUUUGAACGUCUUCAUCGUCCAUCUCUGCUAGUAUUUCCAUCAUGGUGGACAUUUUGCUGUUGAUGUUUUUCGCUAUCAUGGGCCUCGUCUUCCUCUCCUACAUCAUCUACUUGCUAUGACGAUGAGGAAUACUGAACAGCCGCGCGGACGGCCGGUGCACAGGCGAACACAAGGGUGUGUGUUAUAUUCCCCUCCUGCAUCACUGGUCUCCAUCAUGGACAAUGGGAGCAGAGCAGGGCUCGGGGCCAUGAUGGUUCCCCCAUUGGAGCUCUCAUGCAGGAUGUGAUGAGCAAUCCAGUGGCGAGGAAUCCAAACUCCUGUCUCCCACUUGCACUGUUGCAUCUUCAACACCCACUCAACUUCCUACUUCUUCGGACCAGAAUCCUCAAAAUGACACCAUGAGAGCUCCCAUUUCUUGAAACAAUCAGUCUUACCAGUGUUUUUUUUUUUUUUUUCAAUGCUACUCAAGGUUGUGCAUGCACAUGUUCCUCUUUUGAGAAGAAAUGUUACCUCAGCAGAAGUUCAUUGAAUCCAAGUGUAUGGUUGCAGGAUGUUUUUUUUUUUUUGAUAGAGCGUUUGCCUUUUUAAAAGCACUGUGAGUGGCUCUCCUACAUUAUAAUGCAUUAUGUUCACUUUGACAGUAUAAUCUAUACGUCUUUAUUGCCAUCCCUUUGUUGACUGGUGUUUGUGUUUGAGAGCUUUAGCUUCAGUGUUAAUCUUUAUUCACGUGUUGCCAAUAAGUUUGUCUCCUCACUAUGAUCUGGAUUCCCCAUGACGUUAAAGGGGAAUGCGUCAGAUCCAUUUCUUAUCAGUGUUCCUUAAUUUAAAAUGCAUCUUUGUUUUUAUUUUGUGUAUUCCUUUGGCUACAAAUAACUAACAUUAAGAUUUAUAGUGUCAUCGCAGAAAUGCUACCAUCCUAUUGAUGUCAUAUUUUACCACCAAACCUCAUGCAAAUGAUCUAUUUGAAAUAAUGGUAUGAUUACUGAUGCACUGAUUUAUUUACUGAGAUUAUUGACAGUAUUUCACAUGAUAUAUCAAAAUAAAGAUGAUUUCAGUAAACCAA